AGUCAAUAGAUACCCGGGUAGUCCAUGCCGUAAACGAUGAUUGCUAGGUGUGGGGGGUCUGACCCCUUCCGUGCCGGAGUUAAACACAAAUAAGCAAUCCACCUGGGGAGUACGGCCGCAAGGUUGAAACUCAAAGGAAUUGACGGGGGCCCGCACAAGCAGUGGAGUAUGUGGUUUAAUUCGAAGCAACGCGAAGAACCUUACCAGGUCUUGACAUCCACCGAAUCCUGUAGAGAUACGGGAGUGCCCUUCGGGGAACGGUGAGACAGGUGGUGCAUGGUUGUCGUCAGCUCGUGUCGUGAGAUGUUGGGUUAAGUCCCGCAACGAGCGCAACCCUUGUGAAUAGUUGCUACGAAAGAGCACUCUAUUCAGACCGCCGUUGACAAAACGGAGGAAGGUGGGGAUGACGUCAAAUCAUCAUGCCCCUUAUGACCUGGGCUACACACGUACUACAAUGGCCGUUAACAGAGGGAUGCAAUGCCGCGAGGUGGAGCGAACCCCUAAAACGGUCUCAGUUCAGAUUGCAGGCUGAAACUCG
rnacentral:rRNA from 1 species